UACGGGGGGAGCAAGCGUUGUUCGGAUUUACUGGGCGUAAAGGGCGCGUAGGCGGUCAGCACAAGUCAGUUGUGAAAUCUCCGGGCUUAACUCGGAAAGGUCAACUGAUACUGUGCGACUAGAGUGCAGAAGGGGCAACUGGAAUUCUCGGUGUAGCGGUGAAAUGCGUAGAUAUCAGGAGGAACACCCGUGGCGAAAGCGGCUCUCUGGGACGGUACUGACGCUGAGACGCGAAAGCGUGGGGAGCAAACAGG
rnacentral:rRNA from 1 species